rnacentral:rRNA from 1 species
GAAGUGAUUAGCCGCUCAGCCAUACGGCGAGUGAGCGGCACAGCUCAAAUUUGAAAGCUAGCCUUCGGGUUCGCAUUGUAAUUUGUAGAGGAUGAUUUGGGGAAGCCGCCUGUCUAAGUUCCUUGGAACAGGACGUCAUAGAGGGUGAGAAUCCCGUAUGUGACAGGAAAUGGCACCCUAUGUAAAUCUCCUUCGACGAGUCGAGUUGUUUGGGAAUGCAGCUCUAAAUGGGAGGUAAAUUUCUUCUAAAGCUAAAUAUUGGCGAGAGACCGAUAGCGCACAAGUAGAGUGAUCGAAAGAUGAAAAGCACUUUGGAAAGAGAGUUAAAAAGCACGUGAAAUUGUUGAAAGGGAAGCGCUUGCAAUCAGACUUGUUUAAACUGUUCGGCCGGUCUUCUGACCGGUUUACUCAGUUUGGACAGGCCAGCAUCAGUUUCGGCGGCCGGAUAAAGGCUCUGGGAAUGUGGCCUCCACUUCGGUGGAGGUGUUAUAGCCCAGGGUGUAAUACGGCCAGCCGGGACUGAGGUCCGCGCUUCGGCUAGGAUGCUGGCGUAAUGGUUGUAAGCGACCCGUCUUGAAACACGGACCAAAAAAGGAGCCCCCCCCCCACACACCUUAUGUUAUCCUGAAUUUUUUUUGUGCGUAAAGUUAUAGUCCAGAAAUUUUUACUUAAUG